rnacentral:tRNA from 1 species
GUGGGUAUGGCUCAGUGGCAGAGCGCCUGCUUAGCAUGCGCUAGGUCCUGGGUCCAAUCCCCAGUACCUCCA